GAUAUCGCGCCGGGCCGAACGGAUAACUCUGAUGACGUUAAUCACGGGACAAAAAUCCCCGAUAUCU
rnacentral:tRNA from 1 species